UGACAUACACCGGAAACGUCCAGAGAUGGGCGCCCCCUUGUGGUCGGUGUACAGGUGGUGCAUGGCUGUCGUCAGCUCGUGUCGUGAGAUGUUGGGUUAAGUCCCGCAACGAGCGCAACCCUUGUCCCGUGUUGCCAGCAGGCCCUUGUGGUGCUGGGGACUCACGGGAGACCGCCGGGGUCAACUCGGAGGAAGGUGGGGACGACGUCAAGUCAUCAUGCCCCUUAUGUCUUGGGCUGCACACGUGCUACAAUGGCCGGUACAAUGAGGUGGGAUACCGCGAGGUGGAGGGAAUCUCAAAGAGCCGGUCUCAGUUCGGAUUGGG
rnacentral:rRNA from 1 species